AAGGUAUGUUAUUAAGGAGAGCUCAGUCAUGAUACUAUAGUGGAAUUACUCAGUGACUAAAUGAGUUUAUAAUUAAUAAGUGAAAAACUGAAAUUUAAUUAUAAAUUAUUUUUGCCCCAAUUUUAUGUGUCUAAUUUAUCCCUCUACUAGCUCAUUGAAACCAUAAAUGAAUUGUAUAAAGAAUCAAAUGACCAAAAAUGGUUAAAAAAGAUAAAGUUAAAGAAAUUGGCC
rnacentral:lncRNA from 1 species